AACGAACGCUGGCGGCGUGCCUAACACAUGCAAGUCGGACGAUAAAGCUCUUCGGAGUGAUUAAAGUGGCGCACGGGUGAGUAAUGAAUAGGAACGUACCAUUUAGUGGGGAACAACCACGGGAAACUGUGGCUAAUACCGCAUAGUAUCGAAAGAUUAAAGGAGGCCUCUGCUUGCAAGCUUUCGCUAAAUGAUCGGCCUAUUUCCCAUUAGCUAGUUGGUAGGGUAAUGGCCUACCAAGGCUACGAUGGGUAGCUGGUUUGAGAGGAUGAUCAGCCACACUGGAACUGAGACACGGUCCAG
rnacentral:rRNA from 1 species